rnacentral:rRNA from 1 species
GACGAACGCUGGCGGCGUGCCUAAUACAUGCAAGUAGAACGCUGAAGGAGGAGCUUGCUUCUCUGGAUGAGUUGCGAACGGGUGAGUAACGCGUAGGUAACCUGCCUGGUAGCGGGGGAUAACUAUUGGAAACGAUAGCUAAUACCGCAUAAUAGCAGCUGUUGCAUGAUAACUGUUUGAAAGGUGCAAUUGCACCACUACAAGAUGGACCUGCGUUGUAUUAGCUAGUUGGUGGGGUAACGGCUCACCAAGGCGACGAUACAUAGCCGACCUGAGAGGGUGAGCAGCCACACUGGGCCGGAGACACGACCCAGACGCCUACGGGAGGCAGCAGUAGGGAACCGUCGGCAAUGGCCGGAAGUCUGACCGAGCAACGCUGCGUGAGUGACGAAUGUUGUCGGGUCGUGAAGGUCUGUUGUAAGAUAGGAUCGAGUGUGAGAGUGGAAAGUUCACACUGUGACGGUAUCGGACCAGAAAGCGACGGCUAACUACGUG